CCUACGGGAGGCAGCAGUGGGGAAUAUUGCACAAUGGGGGAAACCCUGAUGCAGCGACGCCGCGUGAGUGAAGAAGUAUCUCGGUACGUAAAGCUCUAUCAGUAGGGAAGAAAAUGACGGUACCUGACUAAGAAGCCCCGGAUAACUACGUGACAGCAGCGGUGGCAACACGUAGGGGGCAAGCGUUAUCCGGAUUUACUGGGUGUAAAGGGAGCGUAGACGGCAGCGCAAGUCUGUAGUGAAAUCCCAUGGCUUAACCAUGGAACUGCUUUGGAAACUGUGCAGCUAGAGUGCAGGAGAGGUAAGCGGAAUUCCUAGUGUAGCGGUGAAAUGCGUAGAUAUUAGGAGGAACACCAGUGGCGAAGGCGGCUUACUGGACUGUAACUGACGUUGAGGCUCGAAAGCGUGGGGAGCAAACAGGAUUAGAUACCCGAGUAGUC
rnacentral:rRNA from 1 species